rnacentral:misc_RNA from 1 species
GAUGAAGAACGUAGCGAAAUGCGAUAAGUAAUGUGAAUUGCAGAAUUCAGUGAAUCAUCGAAUCUUUGAACGCACCUUGCACCCUUUGGCUAUUCCGAAGGGUAUGCCUGUUUGAGUAUCAUGAACACCUCAACUCUCAUGGUUUGCCAUGAUGAGCUUGGACUUUGGGGGUCUUGCUGGCCUGUGGUCAGCUCCUCUCAAAUGGAUUAGCUUGCCAGUGUUUGGUGGCAUCACAGGUGUGAUAACUAUCUACGCUUGUGGUUUUCCACCAGGUAACCUUCAGCAAUGGGGGUUCGCUGGGGCUCAUAAAUGUCUCUCCUCAGUGUGGACAGCUCUUUGAACGUUUGAUCUCAAAUCAGGUAGGACUACCCGCUGAACUUAAGCAUAUCAAUAAGCGGAGGA